CUCAACCACAACAGGAAUGAGAAGCUAGGACGUCGACUGGCUGAAUGGAUGAGGGCAAGGCAGGUGUGUUGUGUGGACAAGGCAUGACGAGGAGGACCCACUGAUGUCAGUGAAUGUGGAAGAGAAGAGACUAUCCAGGAGUUGCCAAUCCAAAGUGAUACCAUCAAGAUCAAGAUCAAGAUAGCUGCUUAUGACACGCGCCCAUAUCCAAAAUGGCUGCUUUACAACUUCUCCAGUUCCCAAAUUAUUUAUCCAGAAAGGAUAUAAUAAAUGAAAUUAGGGUUAAUCUGGAUUAUCAUAUCCAUGUUACAAGCAUGAAACUCACAUGACAUGGAGAAGGGUUGGGUGACUGCUGUAAACGUACGUCUAAUAUGGCUAGUAGCACUCGAGAGUGUGGAGAAAUUUGAUAUUUUCUAAGUCUAGUGAGCUCUGCAACAGUCAAGAGUAAAUAUUGAAAUUAUUUUCUUUUGUUUAUAACAGGUUUGUGAGUAGCGGCAUAUUAGGUUUUCAUGGUAUUUAUGCAGUUAUUCCCUCCAAUCGCGCUGCCACUCGUGAGGCCAUUCCUGAGGCCACCAAUCACGACUUUCCACGAGCUGCCUGUCUCCAGGUGAUUCUUGCCACCAUGUCUGUACCUCCCCACACCUGAGACUGACUGCUGCUGCUGCUGCUGGUGGUGCUGGUGCUGGCCACUCAUGCUGCUGCUCAAUCUCACAGCCUCCACUGCAUCCCACCAGCACAUGCCAUGGCCAAUCCUGCAGGGACCUUCGGGGAAGUCGGACACAAUAAGACUGGUUGGCAGAGAGCAGGGUGUGCAGCCUGGACUCUACCUGGGCACCUGGAACAACAGUGACAGUCAGCACACACUGAGCCUAGCACUGCCUAACACACUGCCCUUGCCUGCAGCACACAACACUCCCAGCUUCCUUCCCCUACCAUGCAACACUGGGCCAGGCCUGCACUCCUCCUAUCCUCCUGGCUCCCCAACCACUUUCCCUGAUAAAUUAAAUGCCAUCCCAAUGGGACAGUGGCCCCCAUCAGGUUAGGUUUGGUAUAUUAACACCUAAGAGUGCUGUGGUGGGAGACCAGUGCAACACUCCAUUGCCAGUGAUCAGAGUACAUCAUUGUGAAUGGACACACUUUAUAUUUCUGCCCGGAACCAUGCCAAGUCUGUUCUCCAACUAGCCAAAAACUCCUUCAUUAACAGAAAAUGUCAAAACCUUUCAAGAUCUAACUCCCCUUGUGAUUUCUGGCAUCUAGCCAAAAAUAUCUCCAAUAACUUUGCUUCUUCUUCUUUCCCUCCUCUAUUUCAACCAGAUGGCAUCACUGCUAUCACAUCUAUUUCUAAAGCUGAACUCUUCGCUCAAACCUUUGCUAAAAACUCUACCUUGGACGAUUCUGGGCUUGUUCCUCCCUCUCCUCCACCCUCUGACUACUUCAUGCCUCGUAUUAAAAUUCUUCGCAAUGAUGUUUUCCAUGCCCUUGCUGGCCUAAACCCUCGGAAGGCUUAUGGUCCUGAUGAGGUCCCUCCUAUUGUUCUCCGGAACUGUGCCUCUGUGCUUGCACCUUGCCUAGUCAAACUCUUUCAGCUCUGUCUGUCAACAUCUACCUUUCCUUCUUGCUGGAAGUUUGCCUACAUUCAACCUGUUCCUAAAAAGGGUGACCGUUCUAAUCCCUCAAACUAACGUCCUAUUGCUUUAAUUUCCUGCUUAUCUAAAGUUUUUGAAUCUAUCCUCAACAGGAAGAUUCUUAAACAUCUAUCACUUCACAACCUUCUAUCUGAUCGCCAGUAUGGGUUCUGUCAAGGCCGCUCUACUGGUGAUCUUCUGGCUUUCCUUACUGAGUCUUGGUCAUCCUCUUAGAGAUUUUGGUGAAACUUUUGCUGUUGCCUUGGACAUAUCAAAAGCUUUUGAUAGAGUCUGGCACAAAGCUUUGAUAUCCAAACUACCCUCCUACGGUUUCUAUCCUUCUCUCUGUAACUUCAUCUCAAGUUUCCUUUCUGACCGUUCUAUUGCUGCUGUGGUAGACGGUCACUGUUCUUCUCCUAAAUCUAUUAACAGUGGUGUUCCUCAGGGUUCUGUCCUGUCACCCACUCUCUUCUUAUUAUUUAUUAAUGAUCUUCUAAACCAAACUUCUUGUCCUAUCCACUCCUACGCUGAUGAUACCACCAUGCACUUUUCCAUGUCUUUUCAUAGACGUCCAACCCUUCAGGGGGUAAACAUAUCACGCAGGGAAGCCACAGAACGCUUGACUUCUGAUCUUUCUAAAAUUUCUGAUUGGGGCAGAGCAAACUUGGUAUUGUUCAAUGCCUCAAAAACUCAAUUCCUCCAUCUAUCAACUCGACACAACCUUCCAGACAACUAUCCCCUCUUCUUCAAUGACACUCAACUGUCCCCCUCUUCUACACUGAACAUCCUCAGUCUGUCCUUUACUUAUAAUCUGAACUGGAAACUUCACAUCUCAUCUCUAGCUAAAACAGCUUCUAUGAAGUUAGGUGUUCUGAGAUGUCUCCGGCAGUUUUUCUCAUCCCCCCAGCCGCUAACUCUGUACAGGGGCCUUAUCCGUCCAUGUAUGGAGUAUGUUUCACAUGUCUGGGGAGGUUCCACUCAUACUGCUCUUCUAGACAGGGUGGAAUCAAAAGCUUUUCGUCUCAUCAACUCCUCUCCUCUAACUGACUGUCUUCACCCUCUCUCUCACCUCCGCAAUGUUGCAUAUCUAGCUGUCUUCUACCGCUAUUUUCAUGCUAACUGCUCUUCUGAUCUUGCUAACUGCAUGCCUCCCCUCCUUCCGCGGCCUCGCUGCACAAGACUUUCUUCUUUCUCUCAUCCCUAUUCUGUCCACCUCUCUAAUGCAAGAGUUAACCAGUAUUCUCAAUCAUUCAUCCCUUUCUCUGGUAAACUCUGGAACUCCCUGCCUGCUUCUGUAUUUCCACCUUCCUAUGACUUGAAUUCCUUCAAGAGGGAGGUUUCAAGACAUUUAUCCACCAAUUUUUGACCACUGCUUUGACCCUUUUAUGGGACUGGCAUUUCAGUGGGCAUUUUUUUAAUUAGAUUUUUGUUGCCCUUGGCCAGUGUCCUUCCUACAUAAAAAAAAAAAAGACAGGUAUUAUUGGGUGUGUGUCUGUAAGGAUGCAACAUUUUAUUUUUAUGCUUGAUUUUGGCAUGUUUUUUGUCAUUGUAAAUCAGUAUCCAAGGAGGUUGGAGGUGGGGUUAAAAAAAAAAAAUGGUUAACAGAUUAAAUAAGAACACACCAAAAUGAAAGUAAACAAAUAAAUAAUGUGUCUGCUGUUGUGAGAUGGGUAGUUUUAAUACUUACCAAGGAAUAUAUGAGACUUUUAGUCUAGAAUCCUUAGAUCAGACUGUUCUGUGCUGGGGAAGACCCUGCUGGCAUGCUGGGGCAUCUGGGAGCAGGUCUUGUGCUGGCACCCACCCAGGAGAUCUGCUGGUGCCAGUCUGUAGAGAUGGAGUGAUGCUGGUGAGUGGAGACCAGUACCUGAAUAACCACUUGAAAAGAGUGAAAUAAGAUGCAGUAAGUAAGCAGAUGUGCUACCUCUACUGCCAGGCGGGGGUUACUUCAUCUUAGACUAAGUCACUGUGCACUCUGAGUUACCUCUUUGGUCACUCUUCUGCUUUCCUUCAUGCCUUUCCUUGCUUUACUUUCUUUGUGGCACUCAAUCACCAGUGUUUUCUUGAGCCUGGCCAAGAUCACUGUGUCUGCAGGUACCUGUGGCCUUGGUGCCCUAGUGGCUCAGGAAGACUCCCAAACUGGUGUACUGAUACACACUGGGUUUGGUAUAUAUAUUCUUCCGUUAAUAUAAAGAUAAAUAAUGUGUGGUAUAGUGAUAUAAACUGUAUGCACUCUGAUUAAAGUAAAGAUAAAAUUUAUCAUUAUUUUAACCCAGAGUGCAUACCAAACCCAGUAUAUAUUACACCAUAUAUUAUUUAUCUUUAUUGUAACCAAAGAAUGUAGUGCUGGAAAAAUAAUUAUGUAUAUUUCUACUUUUUUUUUAGGCUAAGGCCCAUGUAAUGUGCGGGGAUGACCAGAGUCUCAGUACCAUGUGACUAACCCCUCCCCCCCUUCCCCUCCUCUCCUCAGUGUCCUUUUGUCCUUGCUUUUUCCCCCCCCCUCUCAGCGUCACUGUGUUGACCACUUCUAUCAUAAAUUUUCCCCGUGAAUAAACGUAAUUUCUCUUGCUUGGCCAGGUUAUAGAGGCGAAUUUUUCACCUAAUCCCAGAGAAUGGGGAGCCCUUAAUACGAUAAAAUUAAUUCUAUAAUGGUAAGGUCUUGAGCCAGCUCAAACAAAUCCCAGAUAAUUACGCCGCGCCAAUGAGGUUGACGAAUCUAAUAAGUCUUCUUUGCUUCGCCGUCCUCUUACCCCCUGUUGCUACGCAAGCCAGGAAGAGAUACCAGACUUUGACUAAUUCCUCAAUUGAUUUCAAAAGUCCAUUGAAUUAAACUUCUUAAAGUCACAACUAUAAAGUAAACAGUAACUUAAUUAUUCAUAUUUUUCAUCCCUGAACUCACAACCUAGUCGCCCCCCCCCACUAAAAACAAAAUUAUAACUCUUAAUAAAUUUCCCCAUUGGAAACCUUUAUCCUUAGUUUUCCCGCCGAUUUUCUCACAAGCAAAGCCAGAUUCUCUUGGAUUCUCCUCAGGUGAGCAUGCAGUCUGAUAAUCUCCUCCUCCAUUUCCUGUAAUAUUAAGUAAGUGUUUGUUUAACAAUAAUUUUACUAAAGAGAUUCUCUUGGAUUCUCCUCAGACCCUCCCGGAUUCUCCUCAGAUAUUCCUGUUGAUAAACUAUUUCUGAGUGGAUAGAUAUUCGCAUUUUUUCGUUCUUUUUUUGUUGGUUUUCUCCGCGUGACUAGUGAAACCACCUGGUUCGAGAUCACCGUGUGAGACUAUCCUCAGGUCUAUACAUACUUUUUGGUUAUAUUUGUUAUUUAUUUAUUUAUUCUCUGGUCUCCCCCGUAAUUCAGUAGUCGCGAAAAUAUCUCGAUCGUAGUUUUUAUGUAACUGAAGAGUACGCUACCAUUUAUUUUGUAUUUCUGAAUUCCUUUCUUAUUAUUAUUAUUUUUCGGAUUAUUCCAUUAUCAAUUAAAAAUCUAUAAAAGUGUCAAUAUUUGUAUUUCUUUUAAUCUAGUGAUAGAAUCUGAAUCAUCGUCUGCCACAAGGGAAUUUUAUUUAUUUUUUUUUUCGUGGGUACUAAACUGGUGAGCAGCGGUGGCAUUUAUUUCGCGACUGACUGAAAGAGGUGGAGACUGGAAAUAAGUGUAAAUGUUGAAGGUGGCACUUGUAGGGCAUAGCCAGAUUCCCCGGCAUCUAGAGGUAACAAAUGUGCAAAUUAGGAUAUUCAGAGCCCCUGGAGCAAAGGCUAGGACUUUCUUUGAGGAUGAUCGGUUAAAUCGAGUACUCGAGUGGCAACAUGACUUGACCAUCUUGUGGAUAGGCAGCAAUGAUAUAGAAACAUCUACCAAUCCCGCUAGGAUUUUCUCCGAUGUUAAGAACAUCAUCAAAGAAAUCACUGCCAAAUGCCAAUCACUAGUGCAUGUCUGCCAAAUUGAACCCAGGACCAACCCUAGGGGAAUAUCAGUGGAGAAAUAUAAGAAAUUCCAAGUAGGAAUCAAUAAUAGAGUAAAGAGAGCCCUGAAGACCCCAAACAUUCAUUUUAAUAAUAUUCAAUUUGUACAAGAACUGAGCGAGGAUGGUGUUCACUGGGACGAGAGAGGCCAAGCUCAAGUAAUCAGUAAGAUCAAAAGAGUUAUUGAAGGUCACAGUAGCAAUAGAGAGGCAGUGGAGUAGAACACAAUGUCCUGGAAGAAGAAAACCUGAGCGCAUACUGUGUAUCGCAGGUCACCUAACAAUCACCCUGAGAGAUUGUGUUCUACACCCAGUACGUUAAACUUCCAUGUGAGCAAAGAUGACUGAUAAUGUUCGCCUCCCAAGGGGUGGAUUAGACCCGUGGCAGGACUUAAUGGAUCAUAACACCAGAGAGAGCCUGGGAGCAGUUAAACAUGAAAGUAAAGGGAAAGACUUGAACACUUUAGAACAGGAAGUAGAGGAACUAAAACAAAUCUUAAAUCAACAAAAUCAGGUAAUUGGGCGCUUGGCUAACAUCCCUAAUUUACACAGAGCACCUAGCACUCCCACCAAACCCCGAGAUAUCCCAAUUCUUGAACUCCACCACCUACAAGGUCUUGACUCAACUACCCAAUUGCAAAUUUUCAUUGAACUGGUGGAGCAAAGUAGCAAUGAGGACACCCGCAAAGUGCAAAUUGCAAAGAGUAGGGUCAGCAGCGAGCUCGCAGCUCUCAUACAUAACCAUCAAACCUUACAUCAUUGUCACACCUGGAAUAGUAUUAAACAAUUGCUUCUAUCACAAUUCUCCCAAGAGGUUAACUUUGACAGGGCGUGGAGAGACAUAGACGCACAGACAUAUGAUUGGGUAGAAUCUCCCCAAGCAUUUGCCAACAAAUUCACUUGCAAAUAUGCCACUCUAGAGACUAGCUUUCCAGGAGAGAAACUCCCUAAAUGUAAGAAAAUUAUCAAAAGAAAGUUGUGGCAGGGCUUAACCCAAGAAGCAAAGGCUAGACUAGAAGGUUUCCUGGAUGAGGAUUAUCCUCUUGAUAAAUUUAUUGAUAGGGUAGAACAUGAGCGCCAACUGCUCGAGGCUGCCCAUACUUCCCCCAUUGCUAGAAUUAAACCUGAACUGGGAAAAUCUAAAUCAAAACUCAUUGGUAGCCCUGACCCAAUGACUCAAAAUCCCCCAGACCUAACAAAUGCAACAUCCAAGGAAUCAAAGGAAAUUUGGGAACUUAAGCAGCAGAUUAAAAGUCUCACUGAUCAAGUAGGAAGGUUGAGAACCUCCCCCUCUCCAACACAACCCGCUAAAUAUUGCUCACACUGUCGAACCCAUAGUCACACGCUGAGGGAGUGCUGGAGAAAACCUGCCCGUGGAUCAUGCUUUGACUGUAGACAGCAUGGGUGCUGGAGAGGAAAUAAAAACUGCCCCGGAAAACCAAAUCAGAAUAUAUGACUCACCCAGGGAUUCACAUCCCCCACUAUCAAUCUCAUAGUUAACAAGAAAAUUCUUAAAGCUGUCAUUGACACUGGUAGCGGCUAUACUUUAAUCACAGAGGCUGCGGUAGAGAAAUUAGAAGGAGCUAUAUCACAAAGGCGAGCAGUACCUAUACUACAAGGGGUAACUGGUUCACCCUUACGAAUCUUGGGGAUGACCUUACUAGAGAUAGGAGUAGGUGAAGAGACUAUACACAAACAAUGGUGCCCUGUAGUCCCGAAUAGCUACCUUGACGCUGACGUCUUACUCGGGACAGACAUACUUUCACAAGCUCCUUUUCAAUGGAAUGGUAAGACAAAUACAGUAAAGUGGGGUAAAACCACAUACCUUGUUAAUCAAAUCAAAAGGCAGAAAGGCAAGGUGGAACGAGUUCACGAGGUACCUAUUCUUCCUACCACUCCAAGUCAAACAGAUCACAUCCGGCUAACUCAUACCAUCAAACUUGAUCCCUACCGAGCUCAGUUUCUUCCUAUCUCGGUGAAAGAAAACCCAGGAGAAACUUUGUUAGUCCAGCCUCAGCCAUGUUUGACGCCUAAUCAUCACCCCUUGAUUGUGACAGUAGAUGAGAAUAAAAAGGUCCCCCUCCCAUUUAUUAAUGAUACUAAGGGCCGGAAAACAAUCAAACCAGGAACCCUAUUAGGCACUUUUGAAAACAUCUCCUCCCCGACGAUCAAAGUCAUCCACCAAAAGCAAGCCACUCCUUCCCUAGAAAUCCACAAUGAUCUGUUGCCACACAACGACCAAACAAGGUGUCAGGAAUCAAAGAGUAGGCCACAAAGACUCGAGGAGUUGAUAAGACAACAGAAAUGGAGUAACCUUACUAGAGAGCAGAGAACAAUCUUAAAAAAUAUCAUUCUCAAUCACCAUGAUUUAUUCAUAGUAGACAAAAACGAACUUAGAUUAAUGAAAGGGCCUCCUGCUAAAAUUAAUAUCUCUAAUCCAGAGCCUAGUCGUGGUCCUAGGUACCGAUACCCCGAGGAAGCAAAAACCCUGAUAUCAAACAUGUUAACAGAUAUGGAGAACAGAGAUAUCAUUGAAAAAUCUACAUCUGCAUGGCUCUCUCCUAUAGUAUUAGUCAAUAAACCGGAUGGAAGUAAAAGAAUGUGCCUUGACUACCGACAUGUCAACAAACACCUAACUACUGAUAUUUACCCGCUUCCCCGCCUAGAAGAAUUAGUUGAACAAGCAGCUGGCCAUCAGUUCUGUGCCACGCUAGAUAUGAGGGAGGCUUAUUUUCAAAUUCUAUUGGAGGAAGGUAGCAGAGACCUCACAGCCUUCAGUGAUGGGGUGACUCUCUAUAGGUUUAAAAGGCUACCUUUUGGAUUAAGCUGUUCUCCAGCUAUCUUUACUAGACAUAUGGCCUCAUUGUUAGCUCCUCUCGUGAAGAAGGGUUGGAUGAAAAAUUACUUAGACGACCUAAUCAUUUGGGCUUCAGACUUCACCACACUCAGCGAGAGACUCAGUGAAACUUUCGCUUUACUUAAAGAAAAUGGAGUCAAGCUUAACUUAUCUAAAUGCGAAAUGGCAAAGACUGAAGUUACGUUUCUUGGUCAUAAAAUUUCACAAGAAGGUAGUCAACCCGACCCAAAGAAUGUAGAGGCAGUAUUGGAAAUGAAACCACCCACUAAGGUCAAGGAAGUGAGACGAUUUUUAGGUAUGGCAGGAUUUUAUAGGAAACACAUCAGUAAUUUCGCUCAAAUAGCCACUCCACUUACCAACCUAACGAAAAAAGAUCAACCUUUCCUUUGGACAGACAAGUGUCAGGAGGCAUUCGAUACCUUAAAAAGAUCUCUUGCCCAGGCCCCUAUACUAGCGAGAGCGCAAAGUAACCAGCCGUUCAUGUUAACAACUGAUGCCAGUAAUACCCACGUAGGAGGCGUCUUAAGUCAAACUCAGGAGGAUGGGUCCGUCAGACCUUUGGGCUAUUUUUCAAAAAAAUUAAACUCCACUGAGAAUAGGUACUCAGCUACAGAUAAAGAAGCCUUGGCAGUACUUCUCUCUUGUAGACACUUCCAUCAUUAUUUGUGGGGAACUAGCUUCACUAUAUUCACAGAUCAUCAGCCCCUUACUAGUAUAUUUAAGAGAAAGACCAAAUCUGCCAGGAUGAACCGCUGGAUACUAGAGAUGAGAGAAUACCAAUACAACAUCCAAUAUGUGAAGGGAAAGUAUAACUACGUGGCCGAUCAGCUCUCUCGCCCAGUGAGGAUCAUUCAGCGAUGUCCUACUCCAAACUAUUUAGGCCUGACUUUAGAACAAAUCAAGAUUCAACAAAGGGAAGAAAUUAAGUGGAGAGACAUAUGUCGAUAGAGUAUCUGGAAGGAGGGUCUAUACCUACCAAAAAGUAUCAUAAGAGUAUAUUGCACCAGUUCACUAUAAUUGAUGAGUUGCUGUACUACGCUAAGGAAAACAUUGAUGGCAGCAUUCAUUAUUCAUUGGUAGUUCCUCAGGUUCUGAUUCCUAAAGCUUUAGAACAUGCACAUGAGCUUUCUGGCCACCUGGGUCAGAAAAAGACAAUUAAAAAGGCCGAAGAAUUGUUUUACUGGUGUAAUCUCAAGUUUGACGUAACCCAGUACGUAAAGAAUUGCCUUACCUGUCAAAGAUUUAAAACCUCUCCAGGGUUACAGCAGCCUUAUCAGGAAUUACCUUCAGUAGAGAAGCCCUUAGAUAGGAUAGGUAUAGACCUGACGGAUAUGAUUGCAGGCAGUGGUGGCUACCGAUAUGUGUUGACUAUCGUAGAUCACUUUAGCCGAUUUGUGAAGUUCUAUCCACUCAAAAACAAACUAUCAGAGGGAAUUGUAGAGGCACUGCAGCAGUACAUUACCGACUUCGGGACUCCUCACUCCAUCGUCCUGGACAACGGGGGCGAGUUCACCUCCCAGAUCUUCCAACAAUUCUGCCAGCAACACCUCAUCACCCUCUGUUACACCACUCCCUACCACCCGCAAGGGAACGCCAUCACCGAACGACUCCAUCGCACGCUCAAAUCCAUCUUGGCUUCCAUGUGCCGAGGUUACCCGCUACGGUGGCCUCGCCUACUCCCUGUGUGUCAGGCCACUAUGAAUGCCGCCGUCCAUACCAGUAUCGCCCAACAACCUUUCUUCGCGUUUUUCUCCCAGCAUGCGCCCUGAGUGGUGGGUGCCAGGCUACCCGCAGUUGAUGGUGACGAGCAAGACGUGGAUGUGGUCCGCCGGCUGAUCCGGGAAACACACGAGAAAAUGACUCGGAAAUACCGUAAUGCAGCCAACAGGAAACACAAGGAGCAGAAGAUUGACUGCUGAAGUGUGAAGUCCUGGUGCGCAAGAGCUAAUUCGAAAUAUAAACUUAAUACACAGUGAUGGCGAAGCAAACACCUCAUGAGUUCUUAAGUGAAUUCAUUGAACUUUAUCGGAGUUUUCUGUGUUUGUGGAAGAUAAAGUCCCACGAAUACUCUGAUAGGAACAAAAAGGACCUGGCCUAUGCAGAACUAGUGAAGAAAUACAAUGAGUUUGAUCCUUUAGCUGAAAGAAACACUGUUGUCAAAAAAAUAAAUUCACUACAGACUGUUUACAACAAAGAGAAGGCAAAAGUGACCACCUCGAUGAAAUCAGGCGCAGGGUCAGAGGAGGUAUACAAGCCUAGUUUAUGGUAUUAUGACCUGCUUCACUUCUUGUAUGAUCAAGACUCAGCAAGAUCUGCUAGGAGUACAAUGGAUGAUGAGGACAAACGAAAAGAAAAUGAGGAUGGUUUUGAAUCUCAAGAUGUACAACAACAGGAUGAUCCUGGCGAAACUCCUCAUCCUUCACCGGCUUUGUCAGAGUCAGAUUCUAAUGAACCAGGUACAUCACGAACCCCUACACCAAAACCAAUAGCACCUCGCCCAAAACGGAAACAGCAGCUGACUCUAACAGAUGAACUCAUACAGCUAACGGGGCAACAUUUAAAAUCUCUUCGUCCUGAUGACGAAUUCGAGGCCUAUGGAAAGUAUAUAGCUCAUAAGCUACGCUCCCUUAAAGGUAUGCAGGCUGUAUUUGCUCGAAAACUAAUUAAUGACGUUAUUUUUCAAGGGGAGAUUGAGGAACUUGAUAAGGACUUCAAAGUUACGAAAAUUCAAUGUCAAACAUCAUUAAUUAGAAAUGACUUCCAGGGACUAUGCCCUCAACAAAAUAGCCCUUAACCAUCAUCAGUCCUAUGAUCCUCAAGUAUACUACCCUCAACAACAGAACAGUCGACCAUCCAAUAACAUUCUGCAACUUAACACGAUGCCUCUAAACCCUCAAACAAUUGGUUGUGAUCAGAUGCGCACUCAAUAUACCAGCAAUCAACAACCAGAACCUCAACUGGCUGUUUCUAAAGAAACUACUCACUUACAGACUGAACCCAAGAAGACAGUGGAUAAUAAUGUAUCUACUUAUUUUUCAAAUUUUACGGUGUAGUAGAACUUAUUUAGUGUUUAAGAUGUUCUUUGUUUACCAUUUGAUGUUUUUUUUUCCUUGUAAAAAGGAAUGUGUCAAAUAACAAUAAAAUAUUAUGUUUCUGAACUUAUUUAGUGUUUAAGAUGUUCUUUGUUUACCAUUUGAUGUUUUUUUUCCUUGUAAAAAGGAAUGUGUCAAAUAACAAUAAAAUAUUAUGUUUCUGAACUUAUUUAGUGUUCAAGAUGUUCUUUGUUUACCAUUUGAUGUUUUUUUUUUCCUUGUAAAAAGGAAUGUGUCAAAUAACAAUAAAAUAUUAUGUUUCUGAAAAAUAAAUGCAUUAUAACUG